AUUGAACGCUGGCGGCAGGCCUAACACAUGCAAGUCGAACGAGUGGCGGACGGGUGAGUAAUGUCUGGGAAACUGCCUGAUGGCGGGGGAUAACUACUGGAAACGGUAGCUAAUACCGCAUACCAUCGGAUGUGCCCAGAUGGGAUUAGCUAGUAGGUGGGGUAAUGGCUCACCUAGGCGACGAUCCCUAGCUGGUCUGAGAGGAUGACCAGCCACACAGGAACUGAGACACGGUCCAGACUCCUACGGGAGGCAGCAGUGGGGAAUAUUGCACAAUGGGCGCAAGCCUGAGACAGCCAUGCCGCGUGUAUGAAGAAGGCCUUCGGGGUGUAAAGCACGUUCAGCGGGGAGGCGUUACCCGCAGAAGAAGCACCGGCUAACUCCGUGCCAGCAGCCGCGGUAAUAC
rnacentral:rRNA from 1 species